rnacentral:rRNA from 1 species
UACGAAGGGGGCUAGCGUUGCUCGGAAUCACUGGGCGUAAAGCGCACGUAGGCGGAUUCUUAAGUCAGGGGUGAAAUCCUGGAGCUCAACUCCAGAACUGCCUUUGAUACUGAGGGUCUUGAGUUCGGGAGAGGUGAGUGGAACUGCGAGUGUAGAGGUGAAAUUCGUAGAUAUUCGGAAGAACACCAGUGGCGAAGGCGGCUCACUGGUCCGGUACUGACGCUGAGGUGCGAAAGCGUGGGGAGCAAACAGG